AGAGUUUGAUCAUGGCUCAGGAUGAACGCUGGCGGCAUGCCUAAGACAUGCAAGUCGAACGAAGUGGCCCAACAAAAAUGGAGUGCUUGCACGAAAUUUGCGAUGGAAUUUCCACUUAGUGGCAGACGGGUGAGUAACACGUAAGUAACCUGCCUCAGAGACUGGAAUAAUGUUUGGAAACGAACACUAAUACCGGAUAAUUCAUAUUUAGAUAACUAGAUAUGCUAAAAGGAGCGUUUGCUUCACUUUGAGAUGGGCUUGCGGCGUAUUAACUAGUUGGUGGGGUAAUGGCCUACCAAGGUGACGAUGCGUAGCCGAACUGAGAGGUUGAUCGGCCACAUUGGGACUGAGACACGGCCCAAACUCCUACGGGAGGCAGCAGUUAGGAAUAUUCGUCAAUGGGGGAAACCCUGAACGAGCAAUGCCGCGUGAGUGAUGAAGGUCUUUAUGAUUGAAAAACUCUGUUGUAAGGAAUGAAUCCUUAAGAUAGGAAAUGAUCUUAAGCUGACAGUACCUUACCAGAAAGCCCCGGCUAACUACGUGCCAGCAGCCGCGGUAAUACGUAGGGGGCGAGCGUUAUCCGGAUUUAUUGGGCGUAAAGUGUGCGUAGGCGGUUUAUUAAGUCUAAGAUUAAAGCCUGAGGCUCAACCUCAGUUUGUUUUAGAAACUGGUAGACUUGAGUAUGGUAGAGGCAAGUGGAAUUUCUAGUGUAGCGGUUAAAUGCGUAGAUAUUAGAAGGAACACCAGUGGCGAAGGCGGCUUGCUGGGCCAUUACUGACGCUGAGGCACGAAAGCGUGGG
rnacentral:rRNA from 1 species